rnacentral:tRNA from 1 species
ACUUAAGUAGUUUAAAUAAAAUUUUGAUUUGUGGUGUCAGUGAUAUGAAAUUGUUCAUCUUAGGUCA